rnacentral:rRNA from 1 species
UACGAAGGGGGCUAGCGUUGCUCGGAAUUACUGGGCGUAAAGCGCACGUAGGCGGAUUGUUAAGUCGGGGGUGAAAUCCUGGAGCUCAACUCCAGAACUGCCUUCGAUACUGGCGAUCUCGAGUUCGGGAGAGGUGAGUGGAACUGCGAGUGUAGAGGUGAAAUUCGUAGAUAUUCGCAAGAACACCAGUGGCGAAGGCGGCUCACUGGCCCGAUACUGACGCUGAGGUGCGAAAGCUAGGGGAGCAAACGGG